rnacentral:rRNA from 1 species
UCAGGGCGGGAGCUAUACAUGCAGUAGAACGCUGAAGAGAGGAGCUUGCUCUUCUUGGAUGAGUUGCGAACGGGUGAGUAACGCGUAGGUAACCUGCCUGGUAGCGGGGGAUAACUAUUGGAAACGAUAGCUAAUACCGCAUAAAAUUGAUUAUUGCAUGAUAAUUAAUUGAAAGAUGCAACUGCAUCACUACCAGAUGGACCUGCGUUGUAUUAGCUAGUUGGUGAGGUAACGGCUCACCAAGGCGACGAUACAUAGCCGACCUGAGAGGGUGAUCGGCCACACUGGGACUGAGACACGGCCCAGACUCCUACGGGAGGCAGCAGUAGGGAAUCUUCGGCAAUGGGGGGAACCCUGACCGAGCAACGCCGCGUGAGUGAAGAAGGUUUUCGGAUCGUAAAGCUCUGUUGUAAGAGAAGAACGGGUGUGAGAGUGGAAAGUUCACACUGUGACGGUAUCUUACCAGAAAGGGACGGCUAACUACGUGCCAGCAGCCGCGGUAAUACGUAGGUCCCGAGCGUUGUCCGGAUUUAUUGGGCGUAAAGCGAGCGCAGGCGGUUAGAUAAGUCUGAAGUUAAAGGCUGUGGCUUAACCAUAGUAUGCUUUGGAAACUGUUUAACUUGAGUGCAGAAGGGGAGAGUGGAAUUCCAUGUGUAGCGGUGAAAUGCGUAGAUAUAUGGAGGAACACCGGUGGCGAAAGCGGCUCUCUGGUCUGUAACUGACGCUGAGGCUCGAAAGCGUGGGGAGCAAACAGGAUUAGAUACCCUGGUAGUCCACGCCGUAAACGAUGAGUGCUAGGUGUUAGGCCCUUUCCGGGGCUUAGUGCCGCAGCUAACGCAUUAAGCACUCCGCCUGGGGAGUACGACCGCAAGGUUGAAACUCAAAGGAAUUGACGG